AUGGAGGACCUACCGGAGGCUCUGGUGACAGAGAUUCUCAAGAGCAUCACCAGGACAAGUGAUCUGAAUUCUCUUUCCCUCGUCUCAAAGCAGCUCUACAAGAUAGAGGGGAAUCAAAGGGAUGAUAUCCAUGUCGGUUCCGGUCUUUGCACUGCUACAGAAGCACUAACAUCACUGUGCGCCAGGUUCACAAAUUUGCGGAAAUUGGAAAUCGAUUACUCUGGUUGGAUAACUGGACAUGGAAAGCAGUUGGACAACAAAGGCCUUUCUGUGUUUUCAUCUCACUGUUCCUCGCUGACUGACCUCACCUUAAGCUUCUGCUCAUGCAUCGAUGACUCUGGGCUUGGUUCUUUUGCUUAUUGCAAGACAUUGGUGUCUCUCAGGCUGAACUCCGCACCAAAAAUAACGUCAUAUGGGCUUCUCUCGGUUGCAGUUGGUUGUACAAGUCUAUCUGCUCUCCACCUUAUUGAUUGCGAGAAAAUCGACAGUGUAGAGUGGCUGGAAUACCUUGGUAGUGAUGGAUCGUUGGAAGAGCUUGUAGUGAAGAAUUGCAAA
rnacentral:rRNA from 1 species